rnacentral:rRNA from 1 species
GAGCGUACACGGUGGAUGCCUUGGCAACUAGAGGCGAUGAAAGACGUUGUAGCCUGCGAUAAGCUACGGUGAGGUGGCAAACAACCUUUGACCCGUAGAUUUCUGAAUGGGGAAACCCACUUCUUCGGAAGUAUCCUGCACUGAAUACAUAGGUGACAGGAGGCAAACCUAGGGAACUGAAACAUCUAAGUACCUAGAGGAAAAGAAAUCAAAUGAGAUUCCCUUAGUAGCGGCGAGCGAACGGGGAGCAGCCCUUAAGCUGUAAUGUAGGUAGGAGAAGGCUCUGGAAAGUGCCGCCAUAGUGGGUGAUAGCCCCGUAUCUAAAACCUUAUUUACAGUGAAAUCGAGUAGGUCGGGACACGUGAUAUCU